rnacentral:rRNA from 2 species
CAGCCGCCGCGGUAACACCAGCCCCUCGAGUGGUGGGGAUGAUUAUUUGGCCUAAAGCGUCCGUAGCCGGCCGAGCAAGUCCUCCGUCAAAUCCAACGUCUCAAGCGUUGGACCGCGGGAGAUACUACACGGCUAGAGAGUGGGAGAGGUCAGCGGUAUUCUGGGGGUAGGGGCGAAAUCCUUUGAUCCCCGGAGGACCACCAGUGGCGAAGGCUGCUUACUAGAACACGCCUGACGGUCAGGGACGAAAGCUGGGGUAGCGAACCGGAUUAGAUACCCGGGUAGUCCCAGCCGUAAACGAUGCAUGCUAGGUGUUGGGUUGGCCAUGAGCCGCCUCAGUGCCGCAGGGAAGCCGAUAAGCAUGCCGCCUGGGGAGUACGGCCGCAAGGCUGAAACUUAAAGGAAUUGGCGGGGGAGCAC